rnacentral:rRNA from 1 species
UACGUAGGGUGCGAGCGUUGUCCGGAAUUAUUGGGCGUAAAGGGCUCGUAGGCGGUUUGUCACGUCGGGAGUGAAAACUCGAGGCUCAACCUCGAGACGCCGGUUGAAACCAUCUGACUAGAGUCCGGAAGAGGAGAGUGGAAUUCCUGGUGUAGCGGUGAAAUGCGCAGAUAUCAGGAAGAACACCCGUGGCUAAGGCGGCUCUCUAGUACGGUACUGACGCUGAGACGCGAAAGCGUGGGGAGCGAACAGG